rnacentral:tRNA from 1 species
GAGCCAUUAGCUCAACGGGCAGAGCACCUGACUUUUAAUCAGGGGGCUGGAGGUUCGAGUCCUCCAUGGCUCACCA